GUUUUUUUUGGUUUUUGU
rnacentral:sRNA from 1 species